rnacentral:rRNA from 1 species
GUCCCCCCGGAAAGGGGGUAGACCUCCCACCCUUGUGUAUUAUUACUUUGUUGCUUUGGCGAGCUGCCUUCGGGCCUUGUAUGCUCGCCAGAGAAUACCAAAACUCUUUUUAUUAAUGUCGUCUGAGUACUAUAUAAUAGUUAAAACUUUCAACAACGGAUCUCUUGGUUCUGGCAUCGAUGAAGAACGCAGCGAAAUGCGAUAAGUAAUGUGAAUUGCAGAAUUCAGUGAAUCAUCGAAUCUUUGAACGCACAUUGCGCCCCUUGGUAUUCCGGGGGGCAUGCCUGUUCGAGCGUCAUUUCAACCCUCAAGCUUAGCUUGGUAUUGAGUCUAUGUCAGUAAUGGCAGGCUCUAAAAUCAGUGGCGGCGCCGCUGGGUCCUGAACGUAGUAAUAUCUCUCGUUACAGGUUCUCGGUGUGCUUCUGCCAAAACCCAAAUUUUUCUAUGGUUGACCUCGGAUCACGUAGGGAUACCCGCUGAACUUAAGCAUAUCAACAAAGUUCAUGAACGAAAGGGUAGACCUCCCCCCUUGUGUAUUAUUACUUUUGUUGCUUUGGCGAGCUGCCUUCGGGCCUUGUAUGCUCGCCAGAGAAUACCAAAACUCUUUUUUAUUAUGUCGUCUGAGUACUAUUAUAAUAGGUAAAACUUUCAACACGGAUCUUUUGGUUCUGGCAUCGAUGAAAACGCAGCGAAUUGCGAUAAGUAAUGUGAAUUGCAGAAUCAGUGAUUCAUCGAUCUUUGAACGACAUUGCGCUCUUGGUAUUCAGGGCAUGGCUUUCG